rnacentral:snRNA from 1 species
AUACUUACCUGGCAGGGGAGAUACCAUUAUCACUAAAGUGGUUCUCCAGGGCGAGGCUCAUCCAAUUGCACUCUGGGUGUGCUGACCCCUGCGAUUUCCCCAAAUGCAGGAAACUAGACUGCAUAAUUUGUGGUAGUGGGGGACUGCGUUCGCGCUCUCCCCUG